CUAAUACAUGCAAGUCGAGCGCGGGAAGCAGAAAGAUUCCUUCGGGAUGACAUCUGUGGAACGAGCGGCGAAUGGGUGAGUAACACGUGGGCAACCUGCCUGUAAGACUGGGAUAACUCCGGGAAACCGGGGCUAAUACCGGAUAAGACUUUAUCUCGCAUGAGAUAGAGAUGAAAGAUGGCUUUUAGCUAUCACUUACAGAUGGGCCUGCGGCGCAUUAGCUAGUUGGUGGGGUAACGGCCUACCAAGGCGACGAUGCGUAGCCGACCUGAGAGGGUGAUCGGCCACACUGGGACUGAGACACGGCCCAGACUCCUACGGGAGGCAGCAGUAGGGAAUCUUCCGCAAUGGACGCAAGUCUGACGGAGCAACGCCGCGUGAGUGAGGAAGGUCUUCGGAUCGUAAAACUCUGUUGUUAGGGAAGAACACGUACGAGAGUCACUGCUCGUACCUUGACGGUACCUAACCAGAAAGCCACGGCUAACUACGUGCCAGCAGCCGCGGUAAUACGUAGGGGGCAAGCGUUGUCCGGAAUUAUUGGGCGUAAAGGGCGCGCAGGCGGUCUUCUAAGUCUGAUGUGAAAGCCCACGGCUUAACCGUGGAAGGUCAUUGGAAACUGGGGGACUUGAGUGCAGAAGAGGAGAGUGGAAUUCCAUGUGUAGCGGUGAAAUGCGUAGAGAUAUGGAGGAACACCAGUGGCGAAGGCGA
rnacentral:rRNA from 1 species